rnacentral:rRNA from 2 species
UGCGUAGGUGGUUUCUUAAGUCAGAGGUGAAAGGCUACGGCUCAACCGUAGUAAGCCUUUGAAACUGGGAAACUUGAGUGCAGGAGAGGAGAGUGGAAUUCCUAGUGUAGCGGUGAAAUGCGUAGAUAUUAGGAGGAACACCAGUUGCGAAGGCGGCUCUCUGGACUGUAACUGACACUGAGGCACGAAAGCGUGGGGAGCAAAACA